UACGUAGGUGGCGGGCGUGUCCGGAUUUAUUGGGCGUAAAGCGCCCGCAGGCGGCCUGACAAGUUUCAGGUGAAAUCUCCCGGCUUAACUGGGAGGGGUCCUGGAAAACUGUCAGGCUUGAGGCAGGGAGAGGGAUGUGGAAUUCCCGGUGUAGUGGUGAAAUGCGUAGAUAUCGGGAGGAACACCAGUGGCGAAGGCGGCAUCCUGGCCCUGUCCUGACGCUCAGGGGCGAAAGCGUGGGGAGGCGAUCCGG
rnacentral:rRNA from 1 species